rnacentral:rRNA from 1 species
GUUUGAUCAUGGCUCAGGAUGAACGCUAGCGGCAGGCUUAACACAUGCAAGUCGAGGGACGGUAGCAAUACUGGACCGGCAAACGGGUGCGGAACACGUACGCAACUUACCCCAAACAGGUGAAUAGCCUUCGGAAACGAAGAUUAAUACACCGUAAGAUAUAGGAGUGGCAUCAUUUUUAUAUAAUAGCUCAGGCGGUUUGGGAUGGGCGUGCGCCUGAUUAGGUAGUUGGUGGGGUAACGGCUCACCAAGCCAACGAUCAGUAACUGGUGUGAGAGCACGACCAGUCACACGGGCACUGAGACACGGGCCCGACUCCUACGGGAGGCAGCAGUGAGGAAUAUUGGGCAAUGGACGCAAGUCUGACCCAGCCAUGCCGCGUGAAGGAUGAAGGCGUUCUGCGUUGUAAACUUCUUUUAUCUGGGAAGAAACCUACGAUUUCUAUUGUAGCUGACGGUACCAGAGGAAUAAGCACCGGCUAACUCCGUG